GACGAACGCUGGCGGCGUGCUUAACACAUGCAAGUCGAACGGUGAAGGGGCCUGCUUUUGUGGGUCCUGGAUGAGUGGCGAACGGGUGAGUAACACGUGAGUAACCUGCCCCCUUCUUCUGGAUAACCGCAUGAAAGUGUGGCUAAUACGGGAUAUUCUGUGCCUGCUGCAUGGUGGGUGUGGGAAAGAUUGCGCCCUUUUUGGGUGUUUUUGGUGGGGGAUGGGCUCGCGGCCUAUCAGCUUGUUGGUGGGGUGAUGGCCUACCAAGGCGGUGACGGGUAGCCGGCCUGAGAGGGUGGACGGUCACACUGGGACUGAGACACGGCCCAGACUCCUACGGGAGGCAGCAGUGGGGAAUAUUGCACAAUGGGCGCAAGCCUGAUGCAGCGACGCCGCGUGAGGGAUGGAGGCCUUCGGGUUGUGAACCUCUUUCGCCAGUGAAGCGGGCCUGCUCCUUGGUGGGUGGGUUGACGGUAGCUGGAUAAGAAGCGCCGGCUAACUACGUGCCAGCAGCCGCGGUAAUACGUAGGGCGCGAGCGUUGUCCGGAAUUAUUGGGCGUAAAGAGCUCGUAGGCGGCUGGUCGCGUCUGUCGUGAAAUCCUCUGGCUUAACUGGGGGCUUGCGGUGGGUACGGGCCGGCUUGAGUGCGGUAGGGGAGGCUGGAACUCCUGGUGUAGCGGUGGAAUGCGCAGAUAUCAGGAAGAACACCGGUGGCGAAGGCGGGUCUCUGGGCCGUUACUGACGCUGAGGAGCGAAAGCGUGGGGAGCGAACAGGAUUAGAUACCCUGGUAGUCCACGCCGUAAACGUUGGGCACUAGGUGUGGGGGGCCUUUUCCGGGUUUUCCGCGCCGUAGCUAACGCAUUAAGUGCCCCGCCUGGGGAGUACGGCCGCAAGGCUAAAACUCAAAGGAAUUGACGGGGGCCCGCACAAGCGGCGGAGCAUGCGGAUUAAUUCGAUGCAACGCGAAGAACCUUACCAAGGCUUGACAUGUGCCGGUCGGCUCCGGAGACGGGGUUUCCUCCUUGUGGGGCCGGUUCACAGGUGGUGCAUGGUUGUCGUCAGCUCGUGUCGUGAGAUGUUGGGUUAAGUCCCGCAACGAGCGCAACCCUUGUCUCGUGUUGCCAGCACGUUGUGGUGGGGACUCGCGGGAGACUGCCGGGGUCAACUCGGAGGAAGGUGGGGAUGACGUCAAAUCAUCAUGCCCCUUAUGUCUUGGGCUUCACGCAUGCUACAAUGGCCGGUACAGAGGGCUGCGAUACUGUGAGGUGGAGCGAAUCCCUUAAAGCCGGUCUCAGUUCGGAUCGGUGUCUGCAACUCGACACCGUGAAGUUGGAGUCGCUAGUAAUCGCAGAUCAGCAACGCUGCGGUGAAUACGUUCUCGGGCCU
rnacentral:rRNA from 1 species